GCAGCGGCCAGGUGUUCUGCCCACCUGGCUGGAAACUACCACAGUGAAACAGCACAGAGGAAAGCAGAUGUCAAGUGGUACCCAUGGGUCCAAACACUUAAUUGGGCAAAUACUGUGUUUCUCCUUCUCUACAAGCCUUACUAUCUGGCUUGAGGCUCGACCCUUCAGAGACUCCAGGAUUGGGGGAACUCACCUCGAUAUAAUGGUCUGUGAAUUCAGUCCCAAAUUCCCGGCUUGCACCAAAGUCCAGCAAGAUCACCUGGAAAUGAAGGAUGGUGAAAGGGACACUGGGAGUCCACCAGUGCUCCCCAUUGUCUAUGGGGGUGCCAGGGUCUGUCCCUCUCUCCCCACACGCUGCCCCUCCGGCCCAAGUCCCCGCCCAGCUGCCUCCCCUGGGCUCCUGGCUUCCGGUCUCCACACAUCAAUCCACCCCCACGUGAAGCUGAAGGGACCUGGUUUUUAUUUUUGGGGUCCUAGUUGUUUUUAUAAUAACAUGUUUUAGGCUCAGAAAAAAAAAUCUGGAGAAUAAUAAAAUAUAUGGGAAAGUAAAACCAACAUCCACAAAUCCUACCACCCAGUUUAAAAUAUGAAAUACUACCAAUCUAAGUGGGGCCUGAUCCUACCUCCCCCCAUCCCCACCCUCUCUUCCAGGGUCACCACUUUCCUGAAAUUAUUUUUAUUAUUAAAUUGUUUCCUGAAAUUCCCA